rnacentral:rRNA from 1 species
CUUGAGGGUGGUAGAGGAGAGUGGAAUUCCCGGUGUAGUGGUGAAAUGCGUAGAUAUCGGGAGGAACACCAGUGGCGAAGGCGGCUCUCUGGGCCAUUCCUGACACUAAGACGCGAAAGCUAGGGGAGAGAACGGGAUUAGAAACCCCGGUAUUCCUAGCCGUAAACGAUGUCAACUAGGUGUAGGGGGUAUCCAACCCCCCCCUGUGCUGCAGCUAACGCAUUAAGUUGACCGCCUGGGGACUACGGCCGCAAGGCUAAAACUCAAAGGAAUUGACGGGGACCCGCACAAGCAGCGGAGCGUGUGGUUUAAUUCGAGGCUACGCGAAGAACCUUACCAGGGUUUGACAUGGCGGUGGUAGGAAAGUGAAAGCUGACCGACCCUUCGGGGAGCCGUCACAGGUGCUGCAUGGCUGUCGUCAGCUCGUGCCGUGAGGUGUUAGGUUAAGUCCUGUAACGAGCGCAACCCUCGUCGUUAGUUAUACGUGUCUAACGAGACUGCCGGUGAUAAGCCGGAGGAAGGUGGGGAUGACGUCAAGUCAGCAUGGCCUUUAUAUCCUGGGCUACACACACGCUACAAUGGCCGGUACAAUGGGUCGCGAAGCCGCGAGGCGGAGCCAAUCCUCUAAAGCCGGUCUCAGUUCGGAUUGCAGGCUGCAACUCGCCUGCAUGAAGUCGGAGUUGCUAGUAACCGCGCGUCAGCAACAGUGCGGUGAAUACGUUCCCGGGUCUUGUACACACCGCCCGUCACGUCAUGGAAGUUGGCAACGCCUGAAGUCAGUGGGCUAACCCUAACGGGAGGCAACUGCCCAAGGCGGGGUCGGUAACUGGGACGAAGUCGUAACAAGGUAGCC